rnacentral:lncRNA from 1 species
GGCAGGAGGCCCAGAUUAUCCUCAUGCUGGUGACAACACAAAGGGAUGGGGAGAGGUGAGCUGUGGCCAGAAACCACAAGUUAGCAGCAGGACCAGAGCUGCUGCCCCUGGUCAAAGCCCGGCUGUUGCGUACAAAGCUUGAUUUUGCCGCCAAAAAGAUUGGAUGAUUCAUAACAUCCCGGCUCCAGUGGACACUAUGUCCAGAGGCCUCUUCUAGAGGAGACUGGGAUCCGCACUGCAGCCAGGUCACCUGGAGAGGCCGGUGGAGUGGACGAAGCAGGCAAAGGCGGCAACAGAGUAGAGGUGCUGUCCAGGAGCUUCCGAGUCUCAGUCCCCACCAGGCGGGGCUGGGAGGCUCCCAGCGGCCGUCUGGCCUGCAGAUGCCACCAUGGAUACAGCAGAUCAAAUGAUGCAAGCAGUUACUGCCCUUUUACAGUUCAAGUGACAUCCAGGCCCCGGUGGACGCCAAGACCUCUAGGAGUAGAAGCCAGCGUCUCUACAGGCAGCUGUCACAGGAAUUCAACAGUGAGCGCCCCACGGCAGGUCUGCUCAGGUUCCCUCUACUCUUGCCCCAACCCCCAAGGUGUCUGUGUGUGCGAUCACCACAGCCAGCCCUACGCUCCAUUUUACAAAUGGAGAAACAGAUCAGAGCAGGGUGUGAGCCCUCCAAUUUCACACCAGCAACUGGUUGACCCCUGAGGAGACUCCAGGCCACCUGACAUGCAGUCACACCUUCCACACCUCUGGUUGUCUCCUUGUUUGGUGGCCUGGUGGGAGGGCAGAAGAGCCAGGGGGCAUGGCUGUUCAGCUUUGAUUGAUAGCAACCAUCAGUAAUCUGUUAGAUAGCCACAAACUAUCAUGGGCUUCACACUGAAACCUCAUAUCAACUCUGGAAGUAAAUUGUCUCAUUUGUCAUAACAGGACUCUGAGUCUCUGAAAGGCUAAGACUUGCCUGAGGUCCCCAGGCUGGGACACCAUGGAGCUGGGAGGACUUGAAUAGUAGUCCACAUGCUCUUGGCCCAUGGCUUCACUGUAGGUCUCUUGCAAGCACCAGGCUAUGGGACAUGCUUUUGGAAGUUCUGGAAGCGACUCCCGGUGGCCAAGCGGUGUCCACUGUGGUUGAGGGUGGGUCAGGGAAGGGUUCAGGUUGUUGAGAGUCCUGUGGGCCUCAGGACAGAGGGGGUGACUGACCUGAUUCUCCUGCCUGGGCUGCCCACCCUGACCCUCUCAGACAUUCCUCAUCGUAGGUGAAAUGGGGUAUUCCCAGAGGAGUGGGGUGUGGUCAGGGCGCAGGGAAGACAAAGGAUUUAUAAGCUAGAGACCCCCAGCAUGCCUGUCACGACCCGGCCCAGGGUGCUCUUCACCCCGAGAUGAUCGUGCACAUGGGGGGUCUCCUCCUUCCUCC